CUAGCCAAACGUUAUAGGUCAAGAUCCAUGUAUUUCCUUGGACUAUAAUACUUAUGAGGUCAGUUAUUUUGUCAUGCUCCCAGCCACACAUGAAACACAGAGCAAUGAGAGACAUGAGAUAGAUAUUGUUUGCUCAUACACAUAUAUAUAUAGUGGCCUAGGGAAUUACACAAUUGGGAUUAAGCUUGAUUCGCCUUUUUCUGGUGCUAUUUCCAGUGAAACUAAAUGUUGCUUGCUCCAGUAUGUCGUCGCCACUAUCAUCCACUGCCCUCUAUGCCCAAGUGCACCGCUAUCACUCCUAGAAAUACACCAAUCUGCUCAGGACCUACAAGAUUUAUUAGGGAAAAAACUUAGUUUUCAUCAUAGAUACCUUUUGUUAGAAGGGAUAAUUAAGCGACGAACAGAUUUUCAUCGCGCGAGCAUCACAGAUUAUGAAACAUAACGAGAAAAUCACUUUUAGUGGUAUAAGUUAAACAUUACAGAUGGCCAUAUGUGUUAUUCAUCAAGAUCAUCGACUCCCCGUCUAAUAACUCGAGCCUAACUCUCAAAACCCUAUCUCUGUGGCAUCGAUAGGAAUUGGAAUUGAUCAGCGGUAUGAAAUGCUGGCGUAGAACACUGCAGCUGAAUGGUACAGGAAGAAAUUGUGCUUCCUGAUUUCGGACGAGCAGGCAAGCAAACGUACGUACGGGGUCAACACAGAGCCGGCUUUCUCUAGGAGAUCGAGCAAGAGUCCUCUUGCGUAUGAACUCUUAUCAUACCAGCAUUCAACAGGAUAUCUUUUACUCAUUACGUAUGUACAGUGCUGCUUUGGAGAUGACGUUAAGUUUGCACCGUAGUUAGCAAAAACAACAAUAAGAAAAUUUGCAUGUAGGACACAAUAAAGAGUAUGGCUUUGCCUGGACAUCGUCGUUACGUUCGAUUCGACUAUCUUAGAGAUAAAGCCACGCUUUUUUACAGUUUACUUUUUAGCGUCUUACUGACAAAUUAAUGAAGGGUAGAGCUCCUGCCGAUUUGCGUAAAAACAAAUUUCCCUUGAAAAAAUAGUAUCUCAAACGAGACCUAUAAAACAGCUUCUGCCACAUAGAGUCGAAUGAAUUCCUAUAUGCUACUAUAAGCCUACACAAACUUGCUCCUUUUCUGUCUCAAACUACUAGUGGACAAAUAGUGAAAAGGCGAGUACGAUGCUGCUGAGAUUUUCUAAGAAAGAAAUUUGAAGGGAAAAGGCUCUGAUGUGAUGCCGGAUGCCAUUGCAUUGCCUGAUUGCCGUGUGAUCACCGCCAUCAUCGUAGCUUUUCAUGCAUGCGAAUGAAUGCGUAUAGGAUCGAUGGCCGCAGCGAUAUGAUCGUGCGAGCCCAUCAUUUGGUGCAUGAGCAGAUUGUUCGGUCCACGAGAUGCCAUGAGGACCAGAGAGACCGGUCGAGAAGGAAGGCCGUACCUUUUCCCCCGGGAGAGUGAGAGGUCGCCAUCAUCGACCCAAGAGAGAUGCGGGGGAGACGAGCUUUACGCCGGAUGGGGAGUUCAGUCAUGGAGGCUAAAGGCUAAAGCACCGGCAGGAAUUGAAGCGAGCUAAGGAGUGGUCACGGCAAUGGAGAAAGAAAGGGGAAAAGAGCCAGGAGCGAGGCCGCGCGCGACGAAUCGAGCAUGAACGCCCCACCCCCAGGAGAAAGGCGAGACGACGAAUUGAUACCGAGGUGCGCGUCCUAGCUAGCUGCCCAGCCCUAGCCAAUGGCGAAUGAAGCUACGCCCGGGGCCAGCAGCGUUUUGAAU
rnacentral:lncRNA from 1 species